UUGGGGCAUUUGGGGACAUUUUGGGGUAAUUUUGGGCCAUUUUGGGGACCCGCAGGUGCCACCAUGAAGUUCUGGGUCGCGCUGGUGGCGGGUGACGCUGCUGGCAGGCUGCGGGGCUGACGACCCCCUCCCUCACGCCGACGCCCCCCGCCCCCCCCCGCGCUGCCCUCGAAGCUCUGGGGGCUCCUGGGGACCCUGGAGGGGGUGGCCAAAAACGCGACCGAGAGGCUGCGGGAGAGUCCCCUGGGCCAGCGGCUGCAGAACGCGCUGCGGGAGCUGCGGGAGCUGCGGGAGCUCCCAUAGGGACUCUGUAGGG